GGGUUGUGAGGUUAAGCGACUAAGCGUACACGGUGGAUGCCCUGGCAGUCAGAGGCGAUGAAGGACGUGCUAAUCUGCGAAAAGCGUCGGUAAGGUGAUAUGAACCGUUAUAGCCGGCGAUGUCCGAAUGGGGAAACCCAGUGCAAUUCGUUGCACUAUCGUUAACUGAAUACAUAGGUUAACGAGGCGAACCGGGGGAACUGAAACAUCUAAGUACCCCGAGGAAAAGAAAUCAACCGAGAUUCCCCCAGUAGCGGCGAGCGAACGGGGAGCAGCCCAGAGUCUGAAUCAGCUUGUGUGUUAGUGGAACGGUCUGGAAAGUCCGACGGUACAGGGUGAUAGUCCCGUACACCAAAAUGCACAGGCUGUGAACUCGAAGAGUAGGGCGGGACACGUGGUAUCCUGUCUGAAUAUGGGGGGACCAUCCUCCAAGGCUAAAUACUCCUGACUGACCGAUAGUGAACCAGUACCGUGAGGGAAAGGCGAAAAGAACCCCGGCGAGGGGAGUGAAAAAGAACCUGAAACCGUGUACGUACAAGCAGUGGGAGCACCUUCGGGUGUGACUGCGUACCUUUUGUAUAAUGGGUCAGCGACUUAUAUUCUGUAGCAAGGUUAACCGUAUAGGGGAGCCGCAGGGAAACCGAGUCUUAACUGGGCGUUAAGUUGCAGGGUAUAGACCCGAAACCCGGUGAUCUAGCCAUGGGCAGGUUGAAGGUUGGGUAACACUAACUGGAGGACCGAACCGACUAAUGUUGAAAAAUUAGCGGAUGACUUGUGGCUGGGGGUGAAAGGCCAAUCAAACCGGGAGAUAGCUGGUUCUCCCCGAAAGCUAUUUAGGUAGCGCCUCGUGAACUCAUCUUCGGGGGUAGAGCACUGUUUCGGCUAGGGGGUCAUCCCGACUUACCAACCCGAUGCAAACUACGAAUACCGAAGAAUGUUAUCACGGGAGACACACGGCGGGUGCUAACGUCCGUCGUGAAGAGGGAAACAACCCAGACCGCCAGCUAAGGUCCCAAAGUCAUGGUUAAGUGGGAAACGAUGUGGGAAGGCACAGACAGCCAGGAUGUUGGCUUAGAAGCAGCCAUCAUUUAAAGAAAGCGUAAUAGCUCACUGGUCGAGUCGGCCUGCGCGGAAGAUGUAACGGGGCUAAACCAUGCACCGAAGCUGCGGCAGCGACACUAUGUGUUGUUGGGUAGGGGAGCGUUCUGUAAGCCUGCGAAGGUGUGCUGUGAGGCAUGCUGGAGGUAUCAGAAGUGCGAAUGCUGACAUAAGUAACGAUAAAGCGGGUGAAAAGCCCGCUCGCCGGAAGACCAAGGGUUCCUGUCCAACGUUAAUCGGGGCAGGGUGAGUCGACCCCUAAGGCGAGGCCGAAAGGCGUAGUCGAUGGGAAACAGGUUAAUAUUCCUGUACUUGGUGUUACUGCGAAGGGGGGACGGAGAAGGCUAUGUUAGCCGGGCGACGGUUGUCCCGGUUUAAGCAUGUAGGCUGAUUGUCCAGGCAAAUCCGGAUAAUCAAGGCUGAGGUGUGAUGACGAGGCACUACGGUGCUGAAGUAACAAAUGCCCUGCUUCCAGGAAAAGCCUCUAAGCAUCAGGUAACAUUAAAUCGUACCCCAAACCGACACAGGUGGUCAGGUAGAGAAUACCAAGGCGCUUGAGAGAACUCGGGUGAAGGAACUAGGCAAAAUGGUGCCGUAACUUCGGGAGAAGGCACGCUGGUGUGUAGGUGAAGCCCCUGCGGGUGGAGCUGAGACCAGUCGAAGAUACCAGCUGGCUGCAACUGUUUAUUAAAAACACAGCACUGUGCAAACACGAAAGUGGACGUAUACGGUGUGACGCCUGCCCGGUGCCGGAAGGUUAAUUGAUGGGGUUAUCCGUAAGGAGAAGCUCUUGAUCGAAGCCCCGGUAAACGGCGGCCGUAACUAUAACGGUCCUAAGGUAGCGAAAUUCCUUGUCGGGUAAGUUCCGACCUGCACGAAUGGCGUAAUGAUGGCCAGGCUGUCUCCACCCGAGACUCAGUGAAAUUGAACUCGCUGUGAAGAUGCAGUGUACCCGCGGCAAGACGGAAAGACCCCGUGAACCUUUACUAUAGCUUGACACUGAACAUUGAGCCUUGAUGUGUAGGAUAGGUGGGAGGCUUUGAAGCGUGGACGCCAGUCUGCGUGGAGCCAACCUUGAAAUACCACCCUUUAAUGUUUGAUGUUCUAACGUUGGCCCCUUACCGGGGUUGCGGACAGUGUCUGGUGGGUAGUUUGACUGGGGCGGUCUCCUCCCAAAGCGUAACGGAGGAGCACGAAGGUUAGCUAAUCCUGGUCGGACAUCAGGAGGUUAGUGCAAUGGCAUAAGCUAGCUUGACUGCGAGCGUGACGGCGCGAGCAGGUGCGAAAGCAGGUCAUAGUGAUCCGGUGGUUCUGAAUGGAAGGGCCAUCGCUCACGGAUAAAAGGUACUCCGGGGAUAACAGGCUGAUACCGCCCAAGAGUUCAUAUCGACGGCGGUGUUUGGCACCUCGAUGUCGGCUCAUCACAUCCUGGGGCUGAAGUAGGUCCCAAGGGUAUGGCUGUUCGCCAUUUAAAGUGGUACGCGAGCUGGGUUUAGAACGUCGUGAGACAGUUCGGUCCCUAUCUGCCGUGGGCGCUGGAGAAUUGAGGGGGGCUGCUCCUAGUACGAGAGGACCGGAGUGGACGCAUCACUGGUGUUCGGGUUGUCAUGCCAAUGGCACUGCCCGGUAGCUAAAUGCGGAAGAGAUAAGUGCUGAAAGCAUCUAAGCACGAAACUUGCCCCGAGAUGAGUUCUCCCUGAGACUUUAAGUCUCCUGAAGGAACGUUGAAGACGACGACGUUGAUAGGCCGGGUGUGUAAGCGCAGCGAUGCGUUGAGCUAACCGGUACUAAUGAACCGUGAGGCUUAACCUUACAACGCCGAAG
rnacentral:rRNA from 1 species